rnacentral:rRNA from 1 species
AGAGUUUGAUCAUGGCUCAGAAUCAACGCUGGCGGCGUGCCUAACACAUGCAAGUCGAACGGGAAAGUGGAGCAAUCCAUGAGUAGAGUGGCGUACGGGUGAGUAACACGUGACUAACCUUCCUUCGAGUGGGGAAUAACCUCGGGAAACCAGGGCUAAUACCGCAUAACAUCUUCGGGUGAAAUUCCCGGGGAUCAAAGGGGUAAGACGCUUGAAGAGGGGGUCGCGGCUGAUUAGUUAGUUGGCGGGGUAAUGGCCCACCAAGACGAUGAUCAGUAUCCGGCCUGAGAGGGCGCACGGACACACUGGAACUGAAACACGGUCCAGACUCCUACGGGAGGCAGCAGUGGGGAAUUUUGCGCAAUGGGGGAAACCCUGACGCAGCAACGCCGCGUGGAGGAUUAAGUCCCUUGGGAUGUAAACUCCUUUCGACUGGGAAGAAACUGACGGUACCAGUAGAAGAAGCCCCGGCUAACUUCGUGCCAGCAGCCGCGGUAAUACGAGGGGGGCAAGCGUUGUUCGGAAUUAUUGGGCGUAAAGGGUGCGUAGGCUGUGCGGUAAGUCACCUGUGAAAACUCUGGGCUCAACCCAGAGCCUGCAGGCGAAACUGCCGUGCUGGAGUAUGGGAGAGGUGCGUGGAAUUCCCGGUGUAGCGGUGAAAUGCGUAGAUAUCGGGAGGAACACCUGUGGCGAAAGCGGCGCACUGGACCAUAACUGACGCUGAUGCACGAAAGCUAGGGGAGCAAACAGGAUUAGAUACCCUGGUAGUCCUAGCCCUAAACGAUGGAUGCUUGGUGUUGCCGGUACCCAAUCCGGCAGUGCCGUAGCUACGCUUUAAGCAUCCCGCCUGGGGAGUACGGUCGCAAGGCUGAACUCAAAGGAUUUGACGGGGCCCGCCAGCGGGGGAGCAUUUUGUUCAUUUGACGCAACGCGAGAACCUUACUUGGCUCGAAUGUAUGGACUGAG